GACAAACAGAAACGGGGUAGGAGGGAGAGCUAAAAACUGUGUGAUGUUUACCAACUGAUAGCGUACAAGCCUACAUUCCUCUGGUUAAGAUAACAACAGAGCUCUGGGAAGCAGAAGGGGACAGGAAAUACAGUGCAUUCAGAAAAUAAUACCAUAGAAUAAUUUUCACAUUUUGCUUUGUUCCAGCCUUUAAAAUGCUAAAAUCAUGAGCUGAUGAGUCCAAAAUGUGUAGUGAAACAAUAGGUAGGAGAACACAAAUAUCAGGGAACGGAUACAUUUAAAGGUGAAAGAAG